rnacentral:rRNA from 1 species
GCGGCCUAUCAGCUUGUUGGUGGGGUAAUAGCCCACCAAGGCGACGACGGGUAGCCGGCCUGAGAGGGUGACCGGCCACACUGGGACUGAGACACGGCCCAGACUCCUACGGGAGGCAGCAGUGGGGAAUAUUGGACAAUGGGCGAAAGCCUGAUCCAGCAACGCCGCGUGAGGGAUGACGGCCUUCGGGUUGUAAACCGCUUUCAGUUCCGACGAAGCGAAAGUGACGGUAGGAACAGAAGAAGGACCGGCUAACUACGUGCCAGCAGCCGCGGUGAUACGUAGGGUCCGAGCGUUGUCCGGAAUUAUUGGGCGUAAAGGGCUUGUAGGCGGUCCGUCGCGUCAGAAGUGAAAACUCAGGGCUUAACCCUGAGCCUGCUUUUGAUACGGGCGGACUAGAGGGAUGCAGGGGAGGACGGAAUUCCUGGUGGAGCGGUGGAAUGCGCAGAUAUCAGGAGGAACACCGGUGGCGAAGGCGGUUCUCUGGGCAUUACCUGACGCUGAGAAGCGAAAGCGUGGGGAGCAAACAGGCUUAGAUACCCUGGUAGUCCACGCCGUAAACGGUGGGCACUAGGUGUGGGGGACAUUCCACGUUCUCCGUGCCGAAGCUAACGCAUUAAGUGCCCCGCCUGGGGAGUACGG